GGAUUAACUAUAUCUUGGUUUGGAUCAAGUAUAAGGUACUGUUUUAUUAUUACAGAGAAAAAAUUGGAUUAUUAGAUUAUUUUGGAGACAGCCGUUCCUUUCUGAAUAAUGGGUUUCUGAAUAACGGAUCUGAUUGCUGUACAGCAAAAUCCUACACCUCAAUAGGUAACAAGUCCUAUUCUGUAUUUCUGCACAGGUACAGACUAUUUUAAAAGCCCUUGGAUAACAAGAAAGAUUCUUUAUUCCUCUUAGUUCCUGUUGAAGGGUCAAAACUGUCUCGGAAUCUGCCGUCAUACCACACACCAGGCACCGUUCUGCUAAUCAGCUCCGGGUAACCAUUGCCUUGACAGUUCUGUUCUGUUGGUUCUGUUGACAGUCGUUGCACUUCAAUGCACUCAUAUUUACUCCGCUGCCACAGCAGGUACCUACAGAAGUCAAUUAUUCAGACUCCAAAUGGCCCAUAAUCUUGACAUAGGACAUUGAUUUGAUGAAUACAUCUUGCCAUAUGUUGCACACAGCACAACGUUGAUUUCAGAUGAAAAGAAGAUCAUGUGCGCCAAUAGAGUUCCAGAAAUGAAUAACUAUUCAGAUACAUUUGAAGAUAAUGGAUUUUCAGAGAUGGGUGUGCAGAGCUGCUGCUUGCCUGAUGUAGGAUUAGGCGAAGGGAAGCCUGGAGUGGAAGAGAAAAUGAAGAUAUGACAGAGGCCACACUGAGUUCAAGCAAAAUUAGGCCUGCAGAAUGCAAAAGAAAUCCCACCGGUGACAAGUGCCAUCUUCUAGGUCAUUCUGCCAUGCUGCCUGCUGCCAAUUUUUUAUAACAAGAACAGAUAGAGGAGGCUGGAUAUUUACCCGCCUAGUGCAUGGAAAGGUAAUUCAGAUGAGCCUUGCUGAUCUUGCACGGACAGACCUAGAAAAAAAGCAAGCCUGUACUCAUACACUUAGUUAUGUUCCCUGUACAGGUUUGGUUCACACAUAGAUAGACUUUGUUACUCAUAAGCACAUUCAAAUUACAACACUAUGGUGAAAACACUGCACCCAAUCGAAGUCACUGUGCCAGAAUGUUUUCUAUGGCUUUGGAGACAGAAUAGUGUGUUCCAUUAUGUUGCACAGGUUCUACUUGGAGUCUCACUGUGUCCUUCUUUAUUCUUCUUGCAAAGAUUUGCAAAGAAUGUUAAAUAUUUGUAUUCUAGCUUAUAUAUAUAUAUAUUUAUACACCCAUACAAUAUUGAAAGUAGAUAAAAUUCCUUUAGAAUAAUUCUUUGUUAAGGAACUGGUAGUUGUAGGUUUGUUGGGUUGCUUGAAAGACCAGUAUGGUUUCUUCACCAUCACCAGUUAUGUAGCCUGAUCCUACUUUUUCAUAAUGGAGUCUGUGGGACACGGCCUUCCGAUAAUUCGUAGCCUUAUAGAUGUUCUGUUCUUACCCUUUCAAACAACAGUAAAUAAUGCUUAUUUUCACUCUGUAGGGAUCAGAUUUGAUUGGGCAGC